CAGGCCUAACACAUGCAAGUCGAACGGUCGUAGCAAUACGAUAGUGGCGCACGGGUGCGUAACACGUAACUAACCUACCUACCACUGGGGGAUAGCCCGCCGAAAGGCGGAUUAAUACCGCAUACCACUGGGCUCCGGCAUCGGGGCAUAGUGAAAGAUUUAUUGGUGGUAGAUGGGGUUGCGGGUCAUUAGCUAGUUGGUGGGGUAACGGCCCACCAAGGCGACGAUGACUAGGGGAGCUGAGAGGCUGGUCCCCCACACGGGCACUGAGAUACGGGCCCGACUCCUACGGGAGGCAGCAGUAGGGAAUAUUGGGCAAUGGGCGAGAGCCUGACCCAGCCAUGCCGCGUGCAGGACGAAGGCUUUCUGAGUCGUAAACUGCUUUUGAUAGGGAAGAAUAACCACUACGUGUAGUGGGAUGACGGUACCUACAGAAUAAGCACCGGCUAACUCCGUGCCAGCAGCCGCGGUAAU
rnacentral:rRNA from 1 species